GCAGGGUGUGGUGGUGCACGCCUGUAAUCCUAGCAGCUUGGGAGGCUGAAGCAGGAAAAUCGCAGGUUCAAAGCCAGCCUUAGCAAAAGGAACUUGGUGAGACCCUGUCUCUA
rnacentral:sRNA from 1 species